GGAGUUGUACUAUGUGGGCUAACAGGUAAGGAGAGCUAAUUAUUUUGUUUGAAUUUAUUUUAUAAAAUGUAUGCAUGUUAAGUUCUGAACUUG
rnacentral:snoRNA from 1 species